UGGGGAAUAUUGGACAAUGGGCGCAAGCCUGAUCCAGCCAUGCCGCGUGAGUGAUGAAGGCCCUAGGGUUGUAAAGCUCUUUCACCGGUGAAGAUAAUGACGGUAACCGGAGAAGAAGCCCCGGCUACCUUCGUGCCAGCAGCCGCGGUAAUACGAAGGGGGCUAGCGUUGUUCGGAAUUACUGGGCGUAAAGCGCACGUAGGCGGACUUUUAAGUCAGUGGUGAAAUCCCGGGGCUCAACCCCGGAACUGCCUUUGAUACUGGAAGUCUUGAGUAUGGUAGAGGUGAGUAGAAUUCCGAGUGUAGAGGUGAAAUUCGUAGAUAUUCGUAGGAACACCAGUGGCGAAGGCGGCUCACUGGACCAUUACUGACGCUGAGGUGCGAAAGCGUGGGGAGCAAACAGG
rnacentral:rRNA from 1 species